UACGUAGGGUGCGAGCGUUAAUCGGAAUUACUGGGCGUAAAGCGUGCGCAGGCGGUUUUGUAAGCCAGAUGUGAAAUCCCCGGGCUUAACCUGGGAAUGGCAUUUGGGACUGCAAGGCUUGAGUGCGGCAGAGGAGACUGGAAUUCCUGGUGUAGCAGUGAAAUGCGUAGAUAUCGAGGAGGAACACCGAUGGCGAAGGCAGGUCUCUGGGCUGAUACUGACGCUGAGGAGCGAAAGCGUGGGGAGCGAACAGG
rnacentral:rRNA from 1 species